rnacentral:rRNA from 1 species
CUCUCUGCAUUUUGACGUUACCGACAGAAUAAGCACCGGCUAACUCUGUGCCAGCAGCCGCGGUAA